AAAAGAUUGAUCACACAGCUAUAACAUCGAGAUGAUCACUGACGAUUGGAUAGAAAUCCAUGUGAUCACUCGUAUGGUCAUGCUUAGUACUAGUUGUUCUCUAACAACUAUCCGUACUUAUCACUCAGUGUCUCUAUACCAUAGAUUAGAGACUCAUCUAUCUCGAAGAAAGCAAACCGUACGUCGGUCUAUCUGAAUCGAUCACCAUCUUCAUGACUAUCCU
rnacentral:lncRNA from 1 species